GGCUCAGGAUGAACGCUAGCGGCAGGCUUAACACAUGCAAGUCGAACGGUAACAUUCCCGCUUGCGGGAGAUGACGAGUGGCGCACGGGUGCGUAACGCGUAUGCAACCUACCUUCAACAAAGGAAUAGCCCAGAGAAAUUUGGAUUAAUACCUUAUAACAUUUUCGAUUCACAUGAAUUGAUUCUUAAAGAUUUAUCGGUUGAAGAUGGGCAUGCGUGACAUUAGCUAGAUGGUAAGGUAACGGCUUACCAUGGCGACGAUGUCUAGGGGUUCUGAGAGGAAGAUCCCCCACACUGGUACUGAGACACGGACCAGACUCCUACGGGAGGCAGCAGUGAGGAAUAUUGGUCAAUGGACGAAAGUCUGAACCAGCCAUGCCGCGUGAAGGAUGACUGCCCUAUGGGUUGUAAACUUCUUUUAUAGAGGAAGAAACCUUUCUACGUGUAGAAAGCUGACGGUACUCUACGAAUAAGGACCGGCUAACUCCGUGCCAGCAGCCGCGGUAAUACGGAGGGUCCAAGCGUUAUCCGGAUUUAUUGGGUUUAAAGGGUCCGUAGGCGGGAUUUUAAGUCAGUGGUGAAAGCCUACAGCUCAACUGUAGAACUGCCAUUGAAACUGGAAUUCUUGAAUGUGAUUGAAGUGGGCGGAAUAUGUCAUGUAGCGGUGAAAUGCUUAGAUAUGACAUAGAACACCGAUAGCGAAGGCAGCUCACUAAGUCAUGAUUGACGCUGAUGGACGAAAGCGUGGGGAGCGAACAGGAUUAGAUACCCUGGUAGUCCACGCCGUAAACGAUGAUCACUAGCUAUUGGCGAUACACAGUCUAGUGCCUAAGCGAAAGCGAUAAGUAAUCCACCUGGGGAGUACGGUCGCAAGAUUGAAACUCAAAGGAAUUGACGGGGGCCCGCACAAGCGGUGGAGCAUGUGGUUUAAUUCGAUGAUACGCGAGGAACCUUACCUGGGCUUAAAUGCAUAAUGACAGAAGUGGAAACACUUCCUUCUUCGGACAGAAUGCAAGGUGCUGCAUGGUUGUCGUCAGCUCGUGCUGUGAGGUGUCGGGUUAAGUCCCAUAACGAGCGCAACCCCUAUCCUUAGUUGCCAGCGAGUAAUGUCGGGGACUCUAAGGAAACUGCCGGUGCAAACCGUGAGGAAGGUGGGGAUGACGUCAAAUCAUCACGGCCCUUACGUCCAGGGCUACACACGUGCUACAAUGGCGGAUACAAAGGGCAGCUACUUGGUGACAAGGUGCUAAUCUCUAAAGUCCGUCUCAGUUCGGAUCGAAGUCUGCAACUCGACUUCGUGAAGCUGGAAUCGCUAGUAAUCGCGUAUCAGCCAUGACGCGGUGAAUACGUUCCCGGGCCUUGUACACACCGCCCGUCAAGCCAUGGAAGUUGGGGGUGCCUGAAGU
rnacentral:rRNA from 1 species